GAAUGUGAGGGAAAAGAUAUUAAUCCUAAUUGACACAUGGCAAGAAGCCUUCGGGGGACCUCAGGGGAGAUAUCCUCAAUACUAUGCAGCAUAUAAUGAACUGAAGGCUGCUGGAGUUGAAUUCCCAGCUCGAGAAGAGAGCAGUGUACCAUUCUUUACUCCACCCCAGACCCAGCCAAUAAUUUCUCCUGUUACUGAAUAAAAUGAUGCUGCUAUUGAGGCCUUUUUACAGUCUGAUGCUUCAGGCCUCAGCUAAGAAAAUGGACUCACAACAAAGACAAGUGCACAAAGGAUGAUGAAUUGAAGGCUGAAG